rnacentral:lncRNA from 1 species
AUGCCGGCCACCCUGCCCCAGGGGAAACCAAACGGUCUGUUUGCUGCUCUGUGGUCACACGGGGCCACAGCUGCCCCACAGCUGGUCGCAUCUGUGCGGAGGGACAGUGGCCUCCCUCGCCCAGGGACGAGGACAGGGACCAACAUCUCCCCAGCCUGGGCCAGUGUUGGCAAAUCACAAGUCACUGCCUCUUCUGCCCUCGGCUUUCACACCACCUGGACCUUGUGCUGCAGCUCAGUGGCUUUCUUCUUGUUCCCUCUUUCCCAGGAACCUCUCCCACAUCCCAAGAACCAGCCUCAGCUGCGGUCAGCUGUGCUGGGAAGCAGCCGUGUUGGGUUUUGCUGCUCCUCUGGGAGGGCUGGAGCAGGGCAGGACCUGGGGACCAGGGGAAGAUGUCUCUACCGCCAGGCAGAGCUGUCUGUGCUGACAGUGACGUCACAGCAGGAUCCACCUUUUUUUUUUUUUUUCCCUUUUCUAUGUUGCUUAUUUUGUAUCUUGCUGGGAGAAGCCGAUUCCAGACUGGUGGCCGCUCUCCGUUUCCGCAGAGAUGCUGCUGCUGCCCUGGCCCCUCCAUGGCUCAGUCCUGGCGCUGCUCACCCGCGAGGUUGCUCUUUGCCAUCGCUUGCACUAACUCGAGGCGGUGCUGGCGUCAGUGUGCUGGUUUUGCACCAAGGGAUGGCUGCACGAGGCCCCGGCCUGUGGCCUUUCACGGGGAGGAGUCAGCACUGGGAAACAAGCAAACAGAAGCCUCUCGACAAGCUCAGAGUGAGCCCUGGUGGCGUGGGCCACCCCAGCAGCACUGCACCGAGUCUGUUCCUCGGAGCCCCGGGAGGUUUCGGGGCUCUCCCUGGGCCCCAUCCUGGAUCUGGGCCGGCAGCAGCUGCUUGCCAAGCCAAGGGGCCGAGGAGGGGAAGCUGCUGCCACCGCGCUGAUGGGGAAAGCUUUUGCCUAGCUUUUCCAAGGGGCGACGCCAUCACCCGGUGCUGCCAUCCCAGCACCCAGGGCUUUGCUACUGCCUGGCCCGCAGCGGGGGCUCGGCCGUGUUCGCUGCUCCUCUUCCACACAUCGCCCGCAGCUCCUGGCGUGGCCGAGCUCCCCUGA